rnacentral:rRNA from 1 species
CCUACGGGUGGCAGCAGUGAGGAAUAUUGGUCAAUGGCCGGAAGGCUGAACCAGCCAUGCCGCGUGCAGGUCAGUGCCCUAUGGGCGUUAAACUUCUUUUGUGCGGGAGCAAUAAUGGUCACGUGUGGCCAGACGAGAGUACCGUACGAAUAAGCAUCGGCUAACUCCGUGCCAGCAGCCGCGGUAAUACGGGGGAUGCAAGCGUUAUCCGGAUUUAUUGGGUUUAAAAGGGGCGUAAGCUGUGAGGUAAGUCAGCGGGGAAAUGCCCCCGCUCAACGGGGUGAAGUGCCAUUGAUACUGCCUUGCUGGAAUGCGGAUGCCGUGGGAGGAAUGUGUGGUGUAGCGGUGAAAUGCAUAGAUAUCACACAGAACACCGAUUGCGAAGGCAGCUCACGAAUCCGCGAUUGACGCUGAUGCACGAAAGCGUGGGGAUCAAACAGGAUUAGAUACCCUUGUAGUC